rnacentral:rRNA from 1 species
UCGGGAAUUUUGGGCAAUGGGGGAAACCCUGACCCAGCAACGCCGCGUGAAGGAUGAAGUAUUUCGGUAUGUAAACUUCGAAAGAAUAGGAAGAAUAAAUGACGGUACUAUUUAUAAGGUCCGGCUAACUACGUGCCAGCAGCCGCGGUAAUACGUAGGGACCAAGCGUUGUUCGGAUUUACUGGGCGUAAAGGGCGCGUAGGCGGCAUGACAAGUCACUUGUGAAAUCUCUGGGCUUAACCCAGAACGGCCAAGUGAUACUGUCGCGCUAGAGUGCAGAAGGGGCAAUCGGAAUUCUUGGUGUAGCGGUGAGAUGCGUAGAUAUCAAGAGGAACACCUGAGGUGAAGACGGGUUGCUGGGCUGACACUGACGCUGAGGCGCGAAAGCCAGGGGAGCAAACGGGAUUAGAUACCCACGUAGUCCCUGAGCGGGCUGGCAAGGCGCAU